rnacentral:lncRNA from 1 species
CCCAUUUUUGUGAAGUCAAUAUACCAGUAAUGAUCUAUGGCGACGAAGUUGAAGUACUGUGUGGUAAUCUAAUCUUUUCGUUUUUCAUACACACACUUACCCGAUAGAUUCUGUGCAUUCUCAAUGGAGCUUAAAGUUUGAAUGAAUUCAAUGUUUAUUUUCCUGCAUGAAGUGCUUUAACAUUCUAAAAACAGGUCGAUGCAUUUACCGACGAGGCAUUCAAGGGAAACCCGGCGGCGGUAUGCUUGCUGGAGGAGGAGAGAGAUGAAGAGUGGUUAAAAGCGGUGGCGCGUGAGUUCAAUUCACCUGUAACUUGUUAUUUGACUCGGCUUACUCACUCUGACUCCGCCAAUGCACCCCUCAUCCCCAGAUUCCUCCUUCGCUGGUUCACCACUGUCUCAGAGGUUUAAUUUUUCAUUUUUCCUUUCAUCCUCUCAACCAUGGACUUUUUAGUUCUACAUUUUGUAGUUCAUGUAAUGCAGCCAUAGUCAUCAAGUAUUGCAUUGUCUAAGAAUUUAAGCUGUUAGAAAGGUCACGACGGUGGUAACUUUUCAGAUUAGUGAUGGUGAAACUUAAAUCUCGGUGUUUUACGUGAAUGUAUCUGAUAACAUAUUAGCCAUUUCAUCGAAAACUUAAAUCUGGGUGUUUCGCUCCGAUAAGCUCCACAAGGUCUUAGUGCAUCGGUGCAGUUUGUGCAUAGACUUUGUUACUUUACAUUAAUUAUUUAUGAUUGCCUUCUUAACGUAUCUUGUAUGGUUGCAUUUUCGAGACCGUGAAUCUUAUGAAUCAAAGUUAAAAGAAACAUUGAAAAGAGCAAAAAGGCUAUGGUUUCAAAGAACUUAAAAACUCGUGUUACAAAAAGAGAAUACGAGAUUUUAAAAAAAAACUAAUAGGCAAAAAGUCUAAUUUAUCCUAACCAAGCUUGUAAAAUGACCCUACUAUCCUUCUAGCAAUCUGAACACAAGUACAAAGACCAUAGCCAUGAAUAUCAAUCUGUAAGAAUACUAGUUGUUUGCAGGUUAAAAUUUGUGGACAUGCAACAUUAGCAGCAUCCCACUUUCUCUUCACAUAUGGUUUAGUAAAUGCUGAUAUGAUUGAGUUUUCGACCCUGUCGGGAUUAUUGACUGCGAAAAGAAUAUCACACGCUAAGGAUUCAGAUUCAUCCCACUUUCAGAAUGGUGGUUCGACAGAGAACUGGUUCAUUGAACUAAACUUUCCGGUCAUCCCAAUAAUGGAAUAUGAUUAUGCGGCUGAUGUUAUGGCAGUUUCAAAAAGCUUGAAUGGUGCUUCGGUGAUGGAGAUCAAGAAGACCACACUAGAAAAUGAUCUCUUUGUGCGUUUUCCAUUUUAUCUUCAUUUAUGACAUGUCUGGUAAGGUGAUUAGACAAUACGGACAUUCUUAUAAGAUUUUUCUUUUGGCAGGUUGUGUUACCAUCAGGGAAGGAAGUAGCAGAAGUAGAACCACAAUUUGAUCAGAUAAAAAACUGCCCAGGUAGAGGAAUUUUAAUUACAGGACCUGCUCCUGCUGGAUCAGGAUAUGACUUUGUUAGUCGCCUUUUCUGCCGAAAAUUAGGCCUGAAUGAGGUAGGAUGCUGUAGUUUGAUUGUGAACCUCUUUGAUCUACUUGCUUUUAUCCAAUGAUUCUACAUUAUAUCGGUACUUUUGAUGCCGAACAUCAGAGUUGUGGAUAUAAUCAGAUUUCUUGGUACGUAUUUUACGUUAUUCAGGAUUAUGUUUGUGGAAGUGCACAUUGUUCCUUGGCGCCGUACUGGAGCAAAAGGCUCGGAAAAUGUGAUUUUGUAGCGUAUCAGGUACUUCCUCUCUCAUGCGCACAGAAUCAAGAAUACAAACAAAUUUUACAUUUUCAAGACGUCUAGUCUUGACCUUGCCAAUUUGUGUGUGAAUUAGGCAUCACCAAGAAGUGCCGUGCUAUAUCUUCAUCUUGAUGAGAAUAAUCAGAGAGUAUUAAUUCGAGGAAAAGCCACCGCGGUGAUGGAAGGUUCUCUCUUGGUUUGAAUGGAAAGUUGUACUUAAACAUUCAAUAAAUGAUCCAAAUGUAUGGUAUUUUUCAUAACAAUAGGCUUUUGUUCAAUUUCGUGCCUAUUGACGUAAAAUUAAUCAAACUUCC